UGCUUUCAUCCAUAUUUUCAGUUUUUGUUUGGAAGUGUACGAGUACACUUGAAAUUUGUUAGUUACAAAUUUUUAGUUUUUUAAAUUUCUUUUUUUGGCGAAGCUUAGAGAUGUUCCGAUUCGUGAAUUUGCUUUUCCAUUGUCUGACUGUCCUGUGCCCUGUCGACCUUCAGCAGCAUAAUUAUUCAGGUCGUUGUGGAAAAUGCUUUAAACAGGCAGCUGAUCGGCGAGCGAUGGUCGUCUCUUCCAGACUUCGCCUUGUGUCCAGCUCCGUGAAGCAUGAAGGAUUGUUCAGAAGUAUAAAUUGUGAUAUGAAUCGUGGAAGCCAGAGUACUCUUAAGCAAACUGCAGAGUGAUCAAUUACGUGGGAGAAGCUCUCUUCUCCUGCAUGUGAUUUUGAAUAUUUAUUUUUUAAAGUUCGCCGUAUGCCCAGCAUUUCUUCGAUCUUGGCGUUAUUACGAUUACCAGUGGCCUGUGGGCCCUGGCAGUUUUUGAACUUUUCAAAAACCUGGGACUGCUUAUGCUACAAGAAUUGUUCCAGUGCACAGAAGGCCAACAUAGUUCGGCAUCGAUGGUGCCAGAUAUUUGCUCGGGAUAGCUCCCAGCGCUGGAGCAAAUCUAGAAGCAGACAACCAUGCUGUAGAAGGAAGCCGUGAAGGAAGGAUCGCCUCUGCUGCCGGUAAUGUUGUGGCAUAAACAAAAUAUGAAUUACAUAUAUGAAAAGUAAGAUUUAAGAUGUGGAUCUACUUUGAAACUCAAAUAUAAGACCUCCCAAAUAA